CGUGUCGGUGAUGAGACCACGGAACACUGCGUCAGGCGUGACGCCCGACACGCAUGAGGAAAUUCUCCAUGCUGCCUUCCUUCUGAGAACACG